GUUUAUUGUGAAUUAGUGAUGUGAAAAGUUGGUUCAUAAAUUACAAAUUAAAAUGGUGCAUUAGCAAAAUGAAAAUUAUGAUGCCGUACAAUGAAUCGACGUAGCCGUAGCUUAGGCAGAUUGUGUCCUUCGCAAUCCCCGAAACAGGACGAUAUUAGGAGUAAAUCCAGGAACAGGAGGGAAUGUGGAUGCGCGUGGCGAUAUCAAACGGACAUAAAUUACUUGGAGAAGCACGUGAGAAACAGGGCAGGUGCGGUGUGUUUUGAAAAUAUGCAAUAAAAUAAUAUAUUGUGCGGUUGUA